GGAGACGCCAGGCUGGGAUUUCCGCUCGAUCUGGGAAUGAGCAAUGCAACCUAAUGACACCCAGAGCUCCUGAAUCACCCGAGGAAAAUGACGAGAGACUCCCUCCGGUGGGAACGUCUCCUAGAAACAAGGCCUAAGAUGGGGCGACAACAGCCCCACAGCUGUGUCCAGAUGCAGGGAGCACUCGCCUGUGCUGUGAGGGACGGCCGGUGUCAUCGUUGGAGCUUCCUAAGAGUCCCAGAGGCUGAUGCACCUCCCAGACUCUCCUCGGCCCGGCUCCCUGGGCCCUGCUCCAGGGGCUUCAUUGCUCCCUGCCCCGGGUCACCCCUCGGCUCACCGUCUCUCAGGUGUGGAAUAUCCUGCUCCAAUCAAAGCCAUGUCACCUGCGUUGUCCAGUGAAACAUCAGUGGACAGGCGCUGCCCGGGCUCCAGGGAGCUCCUCACUGAGGCUCACUCCCUGUGCCUCUGCCAUCAGCACAGGGGGACAUGCCUG
rnacentral:lncRNA from 1 species